rnacentral:rRNA from 1 species
ACUCGAGUGGCGAACGGGUGAGUAACACGUGGGUGAUCUGCCCUGCACUUCGGGGUAAGCUUGGGAAACUGGGUCUAAUGCCGGAUAGGAGCCAUCUUUAGUGUGGUGGUUGGAAAGUUUUUCGGUGUAGGAUGAGCUCGCGGCCUAUCAGCUUGUUGGUGGGGUAAUGGCCUACCAAGGCGGCGACGGGUAGCCGGCCUGAGAGGGUGUACGGCCACAUUGGGACUGAGAUACGGCCCAG